UACGUAGGGGGCAAGCGUUGUCCGGAUUUAUUGGGCGUAAAGCGCGCGUAGGCGGCGAAGUGUGUCGUGCGUGAAAUCUCCCGGCUUAACUGGGAGGGCCGUGCGAAACUGCUUGGCUUGAGGUCGGAAGGGGAAAGUGGAAUUCCGGGUGUAGUGGUGGAAUACGUAGAUAUCCGGAGGAACACCAGCGGCGAAGGCGGCUUUCUGGUCCGAUACUGACGCUGAGGUGCGAAAGCGUGGGGAGCGAGUCCGG
rnacentral:rRNA from 1 species